UACGUAGGUGGCAAGCGUUGUCCGGAUUUACUGGGCGUAAAGAGCGCGCAGGCGGUCGUUCAAGUCGCGUGUGAAAGCCCCCGGCUCAACUGGGGAGGGUCACGCGAUACUGAUCGACUCGAAGGCAGGAGAGGGUAGUGGAAUUCCCGGUGUAGCGGUGAAAUGCGUAGAUAUGCGGAGGAACACCGAUGGCGAAGGCAAUCCCCUGGGCCUGCACUGACGCUCAUGCACGAAAGCGUGGGGAGCAAACAGG
rnacentral:rRNA from 1 species